CAGCCGCCGCGGUAAUACCGGCGGCUCGAGUGGUGGCCACUUUUAUUGGGCUUAAAGCGUUCGUAGCUGGGUUGUUAAGUCUCUUGGGAAAUCUGACGGCUCAACCGUCAGGCGUCCAAGGGAUACUGGCAAUCUUGGAACCGGGAGAGGUGAGGGGUACUUCGGGGGUAGGAGUGAAAUCCUGUAAUCCUCGAGGGACCACCUGUGGCGAAGGCGCCUCACCAGAACGGCUUCGACAGUGAGGGACGAAAGCUGGGGGAGCAAACCGGAUUAGAUACCCGGGUAGUCCCAGCCGUAAACGAUGCGCGUUAGGUGUAUCGGUGACCACGAGUCACCGAGGUGCCGAAGGGAAACCGUGAAACGUGCCGCCUGGGAAGUACGGUCGCAAGGCUGAAACUUAAAGGAAUUGGCGGG
rnacentral:rRNA from 1 species